rnacentral:rRNA from 1 species
CUGGGCGGCCAUACCACCUUGAUCACGUGAAGCUAAGCAGGGUUGGGUCUGGCCAGUACUUAAAGGAGAGACCACCUGGGAACGCGGGUGGUGUAGG